UUCUGCAUCUUGUUAAGGAUUUUCAAAUCUAACCAGUGGAGUGCAGUCUAAAGUGCUCGGUGUCGGGAGUGAUAGGAAAUCAACCGGAGUAGCUCAGACGAAAGGGAGCUUUGUGACUCUCUGCCUGGGAGCUGGGUGAGACAGCAGAGUGGCAUCCUUGGACGCCUCUGGAGCCAGGGUCUCUGGGCUGCAGGGAGACACUCUGCGUCCUGUCCCACGUUCUCUGGCUUCAUCCAGAGAUGCUUCUGGAACCGGUCUUACAGACUGGCUUCCCCCAGUGGCAGCUCCCCACUGCCUGGCUCAACACCAGGGGGGAAGGGGCACCGUCUUCACUCAGUGCCAACUCAGACCCCUCCAGGAGAGACCUCUGCUGGGCUGAAGUGGAUCACUUGGUUUCUCCGUGGCUGUGGGGGACAGCCGCGGCCGGCCAGCAGUGCCCACCCCGGACUCCGCAGACCGGGGCUCGCCAUUCCGAACAGAUGGCGGUUCUCAAACCGAAUGCUAUUCCGAUGCGCGCUCACUUAGGAAAAAGGUCUAAAAAUAGACUUGAAUGAGCAUAACCUGCAAAAAUAAGUUGUCAGCUUCUUUUUACUCCUGCUGGGUGGAAAACAAAGCUGUCAGCAAUUUCUGCGAGUUGA